rnacentral:rRNA from 1 species
GCUGGCGACCMUAGCAAGAGUGAACCACCUGAUCCCUUCCCGAACUCAGAAGUGAAACCUCUUAGCGCUGAUGGUAGUGUGGGAUUACCCAUGUGAGAGUAAGUCAUCGCCAGCU